rnacentral:rRNA from 1 species
AACGAACGCUGGCGGCAGGCCUAACACAUGCAAGUCGUACGGUAAGGCCCCUUCGGGGGUACACGAGUGGCGCACGGGUGAGUAACGCGUGGGUAAUCUGCCCUCUGGUCUGGGACAACUCCGGGAAACUGGAGCUAAUACCGGAUGAGCCCACAGGGUCUACGGGCCUGGUGGGAAAAGGUGGCCUCUCCUUGGAAGCUACCGCGAGAGGAUGAGCCCGCGUCCCAUUAGCUUGUUGGUGGGGUAACGGCCUACCAAGGCGACGAUGGGUAGCUGGUCUGAGAGGAUGAUCAGCCACACUGGAACUGAGACACGGUCCAGACUCCUACGGGAGGCAGCAGUCGGGAAUUUUGGGCAAUGGGCGAAAGCCUGACCCAGCAACGCCGCGUGAGGGAUGAAAGGCCCUCGGGUCGUAAACCUCUGUCGGGAGGGAAGAACGUCUGCCGGGUAAACAAUCCGGUGGGCUGACGGUACCUCCAAAGGAAGCACCGGCUAACUCCGUG